GCAUCUGAUACUGGCAAGCUUGAGUCUCGUAGAGGGGGGUAGAAUUCCAGGUGUAGCGGUGAAAUGCGUAGAGAUCUGGAGGAAUACCGGUGGCGAAGGCGGCCCCCUGGACGAAGACUGACGCUCAGGUGCGAAAGCGUGGGGAGCAAACAGGAUUAGAUACCCUGGUAGUCCACGCCGUAAACGAUGUCGACUUGGAGGUUGUGCCCUUGAGGCGUGGCUUCCGGAGCUAACGCGUUAAGUCGACCGCCUGGGGAGUACGGCCGCAAGGUUAAAACUCAAAUGAAUUGACGGGGGCCCGCACAAGCGGUGGAGCAUGUGGUUUAAUUCGAUGCAACGCGAAGAACC
rnacentral:rRNA from 1 species